rnacentral:ncRNA from 1 species
CGUCUUCAGGGCAGGGUGAAAUUCCCGAUCGGCGGUACAGUCCGCGAGCCGUAAGGCCGAACCGGUGUGAUUCCGGUACCGACAGUUACAGUCUGGAUGGAAGAGGACG